rnacentral:rRNA from 1 species
CGCGCAGGCGGUUCCUUAAGUCAGGCGUGAAAGCCCGGGGCUAAACUCCGGAAGGGCGUCUGAAACUAAGGGACUCGAGUACGGGAGAGGGAAGUGGAAUUCCUGGUGUAGAGGUGAAAUUCGUAGAUAUCAGGAGGAACACCGGUGGCGAAGGCGACUUCCUGGACCGAUACUGACGCUGAGGCGCGAAAGCGUGGGGAGCGAACA